AACGCGAAGAACCUUACCUGGGCUAGAAGUGUAGAGGACGAUAUCAGAGAUGAUAUUUCUCGAAAGGGUCUUUACAUAGGUGCUGCAUGGCUGUCGUCAGCUCGUGCCGUGAGGUGUUUGGUUAAGUCCAGCAACGAGCGCAACCCUUAUCGUUAGUUGCCAACAUGUAAAGGUGGGAACUCUAACGAGACUGCCUGGGUUAACCAGGGAGGAGUGGAG
rnacentral:rRNA from 1 species